rnacentral:lncRNA from 1 species
GGGCAGUAGCCUUUAGAGAGGGGAAUUAUUUUUGUUUUCCUCAGCCAGAGUUUACUAAGCUGGGAAAGGCUGGUGUUCCUCUCUGCUUUGCAGUUUUUCUAUAUCCCUUGGGCCAUUAAUAGGAUCUGCAUGGAUGAAGUUCAACAGUUGUGACACACAGGCCAUAUAUUUCUUGUCUGGUAAUUUGCCAAGCUCUCAUUCCCAAACGUGUGACUUGUCAUUCUUGUAUCUCUUGAGAAAGUAUUGAAAAGGUAACUACAGGUUAUGCAGAAGAUGCAGCUAUCAGGUCAUAAAUUGUAAAAACUCAUCUCUUUAGAUCUCAUGACUUUUUUUCAAUAUGAUGUAUCUGCUAUUAAAUAUACCUACUGUCUUUUCCUGCAGAGGCCUUUUUUCCUGGAAAACUAGCUGAUGUAAGAAUGUCAUGACUUGGAGGCAUCUGACUCUGCUUUUGAAUACC